AUUGAACGCUGGCGGCAUGCUUUACACAUGCAAGUCGAACGGUAACAGCACUUCGGUGGCUGACGAGUGGCGAACGGGUGAGUAAUACAUCGGAACGUGCCUAGUAGUGGGGGAUAACUACUCGAAAGAGUAGCUAAUACCGCAUGAGAUCUAAGGAUGAAAGCAGGGGACCUUCGGGCCUUUCGCUACUAGAGCGGCUGAUGGCAGAUUAGGUAGUUGGUGGGAUAAAAGCUUACCAAGCCGACGAUCUGUAGCUGGUCUGAGAGGACGACCAGCCACACUGGGACUGAGACACGGCCCAGACUCCUACGGGAGGCAGCAGUGGGGAAUUUUGGACAAUGGGCGCAAGCCUGAUCCAGCAAUGCCGCGUGCAGGAUGAAGGCCUUCGGGUUGUAAACUGCUUUUGUACGGAACGAAAAGCCCUCUUCUAAUACAGGAGGGUCAUGACGGUACCGUAAGAAUAAGCACCGGCUAACUACGUG
rnacentral:rRNA from 1 species